UACGGGGGGAGCAAGCGUUGUUCGGAUUUACUGGGCGUAAAGGGCGCGUAGGCGGCGCAACAAGUCACUUGUGAAAUCUCCGGGCUUAACUCGGAAAGGUCAAGUGAUACUGUUGUGCUAGAGUGCGGAAGGGGCAACUGGAAUUCUCGGUGUAGCGGUGAAAUGCGUAGAUAUCGAGAGGAACACCUGCGGCGAAGGCGGGUUGCUGGGCCGACACUGACGCUGAUGCGCGAAGGCGUGGGGAGCAAACAGG
rnacentral:rRNA from 1 species